rnacentral:rRNA from 1 species
AUUGAACGCUGGCGGCAGGCCUAACACAUGCAAGUCGAACGAGUGGCGGACGGGUGAGUAAUGUCUGGGAAACUGCCUGAUGGAGGGGGAUAACUACUGGAAACGGUAGAUAAUACCGCAUACCAUCGGAUGUGCCCAGAUGGGAUUAGCUAGUAGGUGGGGUAAUGGCUCACCUAGGCGACGAUCCCUAGCUGGGCUGAGAGGAUGACCAGCCACACUGGAACUGAGACACGGUCCAGACUCCUACGGGAGGCAGCAGUGGGGAAUAUUGGACAAUGGGCGCAAGCCUGAUGCAGCCAUGCCGCGUGUGGGAGAAGGGCCUUCGGGUUGUAAAGUACUUUCAGCGAGGAGGCGUUACCCGCAGAAGAAGCACCGGCUAACUCCGUGCCAGCCGCCGCGGUAAUUC